rnacentral:rRNA from 1 species
GACGAACGCUGGCGGCGUGCUUAACACAUGCAAGUCGAACGGAAAGGCCCUGCUUUUGUGGGGUGCUCGAGUGGCGAACGGGUGAGUAACACGUGAGUAACCUGCCCUUGACUUUGGGAUAACUUCAGGAAACUUGGGCUAAUACCGGAUAGGAGCUCCUGCUGCAUGGUGGGGGUUGGAAAGUUUCGGCGGUUGGGGAUGGACUCGCGGCUUAUCAGCUUGUUGGUGGGGUAGUGGCUUACCAAGGCUUUGACGGGUAGCCGGCCUGAGAGGGUGACCGGCCACAUUGGGACUGAGAUACGGCCCAGACUCCUACGGGAGGCAGCAGUGGGGAAUAUUGCACAAUGGGCGGAAGCCUGAUGCAGCAACGCCGCGUGCGGGAUGACGGCCUUCGGGUUGUAAACCGCUUUCGCCUGUGACGAAGCGUGAGUGACGGUAAUGGGUAAAGAAGCACCGGCUAACUACGUGCCAGCAGCCGCGGUGAUACGUAGGGUGCGAGCGUUGUCCGGAUUUAUUGGGCGUAAAGGGCUCGUAGGUGGUUGAUCGCGUCGGAAGUGUAAUCUUGGGGCUUAACCCUGAGCGUGCUUUCGAUACGGGUUGACUUGAGGAAGGUAGGGGAGAAUGGAAUUCCUGGUGGAGCGGUGGAAUGCGCAGAUAUCAGGAGGAACACCAGUGGCGAAGGCGGUUCUCUGGGCCUUUCCUGACGCUGAGGAGCGAAAGCGUGGGGAGCGAACAGGCUUAGAUACCCUGGUAGUCCACGCUGUAAACGGUGGGUACUAGGUGUGGGGUCCAUUCCACGGGUUCCGUGCCGUAGCUAACGCUUUAAGUACCCCGCCUGGGGAGUACGGCCGCAAGGCUAAAACUCAAAGGAAUUGACGGGGCCCCGCACAAGCGGCGGAGCAUGCGGAUUAAUUCGAUGCAACGCGUAGAACCUUACCUGGGUUUGACAUGGAUCGGGAGCGCUCAGAGAUGGGUGUGCCUCUUUUGGGGUCGGUUCACAGGUGGUGCAUGGCUGUCGUCAGCUCGUGUCGUGAGAUGUUGGGUUAAGUCCCGCAACGAGCGCAACCCUUGUUCACUGUUGCCAGCACGUUAUGGUGGGGACUCAGUGGAGACCGCCGGGGUCAACUCGGAGGAAGGUGGGGAUGACGUCAAGUCACCAUGCCCCUUAUGUCCAGGGCUUCACGCAUGCUACAAUGGCUGGUACAGAGAGUGGCGAGCCUGUGAGGGUGAGCGAAUCUCGGAAAGCCGGUCUCAGUUCGGAUUGGGGUCUGCAACUCGACCUCAUGAAGUCGGAGUCGCUAGUAAUCGCAGAUCAGCAACGCUGCGGUGAAUACGUUCCCGGG